GCAAGGCUCUCUUUUAGCUGCGCCACAAUGACGGCCAUUGUUGGCCUUCGGACCGCAUCAUCUGCUGUGCACGCCAAGGCGGUGUCGAUCAGUUUCCACAUGGAGUUGACAUCAUAUUCAUCUCCAAGAUGGGCAUCAGCCACAGUGGUGACGUUGCCAGUGGCAAUCUUCUGUUUCACACGCUGAACGAUGUGGCCAUGGCCUGCCAAUACCGGAGGCUCACCAGUGGCUACCUCGAGUAGAACAACACCGAAGCUAUACACAUCGCUGCUCUCAGUGAGCCAGCCAGUGUGAUAGUACCUAAGAAAUAGCAGGUAAACCACCUCUUAGAAACCUAAUUUGGAUUAAGCAACAAUGCCCUAUAUGAGAAAGAGGUACGAAAGUUUUAUAGUAUAGAAAGAAACAUACUCAGGGUCCAUGUAUCCUGCUGUCCCAGCCGCAUUGGUUGAUAUGUGGGUCUGCAUGUCGCUAAGAUAGGUCUUGCAAAGUCCAAAAUCAGCUAGUUUCGCCUUUAGAUUAUGACCUAGGAGAAUGUUGUUGGUUUUCACAUCCCGGUGAAUUAUUGGCAAGCUACAUCCCUUGUGCAGAUAGUCCAGGCCUACACAUAUCAUAGCAAGUCCUUCAAAAUAUGACUGAAAAGAAGAGCAUACCAUCUAUAACAAAUACGCUUAAGAAAACUAUAUAUAUCUUUCCACUAAACCAUACCUUGUGCAGCUUCGAGCACGAUUCGUACACGUGUCGCCCAACCCAAGGUUUCACCACCAUCAUUUUUCCCUUCAUAUACAAGCAUGGUAACAGUUAGAGAGCAGAAUUGUAUCAACAGCUUUACAUGUCAAUGUUCAUAUAUCUAUGCAAUAUUUCUCCGUUUGCAAUUCUGUUAUGGUCUCUCACAGUCUUCCUACUCUUCUGUGUCGGAUAUUGAAUAAAUUAGAUGCAUUAAGGUUGUUACUUCGUCAGCCAAUGGUAAACAAAAUGUUUUAUUUUGGACAAGAAGCAAUAUAAGCAAAGAUUACUAGCUGUUACUGAUGGUUGCAGGCACUUCACAAGGAAGAGAUGUAGACACCCUCGAGCUAUUUUAGAUAAAUACAUUAAAAGCAUUCAAGAUAUAUAGCCAUUGAAGUUCUAACAAUGCACAUAUAUUUUUUAUGAAACUUCAAGACAACCACAAAAUUUGUUAUCACUUCAUUAGGUUUGCGAAUGGACAAACCUCUCAGAUGAUCACAAAGAUUGCCCCGGGACAUGUACUCAUAAACCAGUGCUAAAUGGUCCUUCUCCCAGCAGUAACCAACCAAAGAAACUAGAUUCCUGUGAUGCACCUUUGUCAAGCUAUUGACCUAUGUAAAGAGACAUGGCACAGAGGUUAAAUAUCUUAAUUUGCAUGUAAACUCACUGUGAUGACUCAACAAACUUACAUUUCAAACUGAAAACUUUCUGAACCAGGGGAGAAUUAAAGUACCUCGGCUAAAAACUCAUCAAGCCCAUGUGAUGAUGAUUCAGAAUGCAUCUUGACAGCAACCUCAGCAUUGUCUUCUAAACGGCCGUAGUACACGAGUCCAAAACCUCCUUUGCCAAUGCACCGUUGGAAUUUAUCGGAGCACCUUGAAGUUCUGGUUCUCUGGGAGGAUCAUGUGUAGAAACUGGUUGCACAAAUGUCAGUUAUAUUACAGAAACACUAAAUGUAGUAAACCUAAUUAGUUAACAAUCAACCAAUUUAACUAUAUGUUGUUAAAAGAAUAGAGCAUACGCACUUUUGGGCUUUGUCUUUCCCCUCCAGAUCAAACAUGCCA